AGUGAACGCUGGCGGUAGGCCUAACACAUGCAAGUCGAACGGCAGCACAGUAAGAGCUUGCUCUUACGGGUGGCGAGUGGCGGACGGGUGAGGAAUACAUCGGAAUCUACUUUUUCGUGGGGGAUAACGUAGGGAAACUUACGCUAAUACCGCAAACGACCUACGGGUGAAAGCAGGGGAUCUUCGGACCUUGCGCGAUUGAAUGAGCCGAUGUCGGAUUAGCUAGUUGGCGGGGUAAAGGCCCACCAAGGCGACGAUCCGUAGCUGGUCUGAGAGGAUGAUCAGCCACACUGGAACUGAGACACGGUCCAGACUCCUACGGGAGGCAGCAGUGGGGAAUAUUGGACAAUGGGCGCAAGCCUGAUCCAGCCAUACCGCGUGGGUGAAGAAGGCCUUCGGGUUGUAAAGCCCUUUUGUUGGGAAGAAAAGCAGCAGGUUAAUACCCCGCUGUUCUGACGGUACCCAAAGAAUAAGCACCGGCUAACUUCGUG
rnacentral:rRNA from 1 species